rnacentral:rRNA from 1 species
AACGAACGCUGGCGGCAGGCCUAACACAUGCAAGUCGAGCGAGAUCUUCGGGUCUAGCGGCGGACGGGUGAGUAACGCGUGGGAAUAUGCCUCUUGGUACGGAAUAGCCUCGGGAAACUGGGGGUAAUACCGUAUGUGCCCUUUGGGGGAAAGAUUUAUCGCCAAGAGAUUAGCCCGCGUUGGAUUAGGUAGUUGGUGGGGUAAUGGCCUACCAAGCCGACGAUCCAUAGCUGGUUUGAGAGGAUGAUCAGCCACACUGGGACUGAGACACGGCCCAGACUCCUACGGGAGGCAGCAGUGGGGAAUCUUAGACAAUGGGGGCAACCCUGAUCUAGCCAUGCCGCGUGAGUGAUGAAGGCCUUAGGGUUGUAAAGCUCUUUCAGCUGGGAAGAUAAUGACGGUACCAGCAGAAGAAGCCCCGGCUAACUCCGUG